AGAGUUUGAUCCUGGCUCAGGACGAACGCUGGCGGCGUGCUUAACACAUGCAAGUCGAACGAGAAUCUGCGGAAAGAGGAUUCGUCCAAUUGAAGCAGAGGACAGUGGCGGACGGGUGAGUAACGCGUGAGGAACCUGCCUUUCAGAGGGGGACAACAGUUGGAAACGACUGCUAAUACCGCAUGACACAUUGGGGUCGCAUGGCCCUGAUGUCAAAGAUUUAUCGCUGAAAGAUGGCCUCGCGUCUGAUUAGCUAGUUGGUGAGGUAACGGCCCACCAAGGCGACGAUCAGUAGCCGGACUGAGAGGUUGAACGGCCACAUUGGGACUGAGAUACGGCCCAGACUCCUACGGGAGGCAGCAGUGGGGAAUAUUGGGCAAUGGGCGCAAGCCUGACCCAGCAACGCCGCGUGAAGGAAGAAGGCUUUCGGGUUGUAAACUUCUUUUGUCAGGGACGAGUAGAAGACGGUACCUGACGAAUAAGCCACGGCUAACUACGUGCCAGCAGCCGCGGUAAUACGUAGGUGGCAAGCGUUGUCCGGAUUUACUGGGUGUAAAGGGCGUGUAGCCGGGAGGGCAAGUCAGAUGUGAAAUCCACGGGCUUAACUCGUGAACUGCAUUUGAAACUGUUCUUCUUGAGUAUCGGAGAGGCAAUCGGAAUUCCUAGUGUAGCGGUGAAAUGCGUAGAUAUUAGGAGGAACACCAGUGGCGAAGGCGGAUUGCUGGACGACAACUGACGGUGAGGCGCGAAAGCGUGGGGAGCAAACAGGAUUAGAUACCCUGGUAGUCCACGCUGUAAACGAUGAAUACUAGGUGUGCGGGGACUGACCCCCUGCGUGCCGCAGUUAACACAAUAAGUAUUCCACCUGGGGAGUACGAUCGCAAGGUUGAAACUCAAAGGAAUUGACGGGGGCCCGCACAAGCGGUGGAUUUAUGUGGUUUUAAUUCGAAGCAACGCGAAGAACCUUUACCAGGGCUUGACAUCCUACUAACGAGAUAGAG
rnacentral:rRNA from 1 species